UUAAAUAAAUGAACCUAAUAUUAGAUGAAAGAAAAUAAAAGCUUUUAAAGAAAUAAAGUUCUUAAGAGGCCCGAGUUAACGAGACUUAAAAUGAAACGGGUUAUGACUUCCCCGAACCCACUAAGUAACUAGGAAUAUUAACCUAGUUAGUUAUGUGUUGUUAGAAUAAUAAAGGAAACUUGAAAUAGUUAAACCUUUUAUAAAUCCUUGAAACUAUAGGGACUAAAAGGGGCCAAGAGUGAAACAUGAUUAAAAUUAAAAGAAAUGAAACACCAAAACACACACUUAUGUGUGUGUUUGGUCGUGAUUUACAGGAGCCAAGAAAAGGGCUCUUACAAAGCCCUAAAACUCACAAGAAAUCCAACAAAAAUCGAAGAUAGAACAAGCUAAAAAUUGGGGCUUUAAAUAAAUUUGUGAUCACCCAAGCUAGAAGAUUGCAAGUUUGACUCUGACAAGCUAGGUAGGAGCUUGGAAAUGAACGGGUCAAAUGGAUACAAGUUCAAGUAUGAAGCUCGCAAGGAUGCAAGGUAAAUGAUAUCGGCUAUCCAGAUGAAGAUCAAGCGCCUAACAAGAACCGAACACACGAUAAAUGAAGCUUCCGCAUUUGAGUUUAAACCUUGUUAUCAAAAAGUGAACUAUGUAAACACUGAUAACAUGGUUUUUGGAACGUUUUAAACAUGUCUGAAUAUUUUGAUGUAAAAGUUUUCGUUGAGUCGCAUUUUUGUUAUAAAAUGCGUACUUUAAUGAUAUAAAAUAACGUUAAAUUAGAAUGGGUCUUACAAGUUGGUAAUCAGAGCUCACGGUUAAAGAGUAAAGUGUGUUCGGUUCGAGGCUUGAUCGCAAAUCCGUUGAAGGACACUCGCAUCUGAAGAUGGUUAGAGUUUAACAAAUUUCGAAUAUGACAGAGGAACAGUCCGAAGUAUGACAAGUAGAGCAUGCUCACCAAGGACCCAAAUCGCGUAACGAUAGCAAGUAAGGAUAAUUGGCAAGGAAAGCCCGUUAGGGCAAGCAUUACCAGGAGCCAAGAAAAGGGCUCUUACAAAGCCCUAAAACUCACAAGAAAUCCAACAAAAAUCGAAGAUAGAACAAGCUAAAAAUUGGGGCUUUAAAUAAAUUUGUGAUCACCCAAGCUAGAAGAUUGCAAGUUUGACUCUGACAAGCUAGGUAGGAGCUUGGAAAUGAACGGGUCAAAUGGAUACAAGUUCAAGUAUGAAGCUCGCAAGGAUGCAAGGAUAAAACGGCUUAUGGAAUUUGCGUUGCUAUGAAUCAGCAAAUUAUUAAGACAAUGUAUUAGAACGGGUCAAUACUUUGACCCGAGCCAGGUACGUGUAAAUUGGCGGAGUACAAGUAGACAUUUUAAUGUGGAAAUGUGAUGUGUGAAAAAAAAAGAAGAGCGAGAUUUGAAAUUAAAUGUUUAAAUUUCCUAAACGGGUCAAAAUGAAUUAUGCGCAUAGCUUGGGUAUUAGUCGCAUAAUUCAUAAAAGUUAUGUUCACGAGUUAAAGACUUUUGAGUUAACAAGUAGUCCAAGGUUUUAAGAUGAUUUAAAAUGAUUUAGAAACAAGUCGUUUAAUAGAUUAUGAAACGGGUCGAAUAAUUGUAUAAGAGAUUUAUAAGCCGUUAGCUUAUAAAUCAGCAUCGUUACAAACCUUAGUGUUGAUUAUAUAGGAGACUACAUUACGGUCAAUACGAAACAAGAAUCGCGUAAAACUGAUGUGUAGUUUGAAAGUUAUGCAUGUUUAUGUUAAACAUAGGAAAAACACAUAGCUGGGCAAAAAAAAAAAUGCAGGUUGCAGAGACAAACCUGUUGGAAAAUGGUGACCCUCACGCCACGCGAAGGACUAAGAUGGUUGAGGCGUGACACGCGACCACAGUCACGGCACGCGACAGAAUUAGGAAACCCUGUCGCGGCACGCGACAGGGGUAAAUGAUAUCGGCUAUCCAGAUGAAGAUCAAGCGCCUAACAAGAACCGAACACACGAUAAAUGAAGCUUCCGCAUUUGAGUUUAAACCUUGUUAUCAAAAAGUGAACUAUGUAAACACUGAUAACAUGGUUUUUGGAACGUUUUAAACAUGUCUGAAUAUUUUGAUGUAAAAGUUUUCGUUGAGUCGCAUUUUUGUUAUAAAAUGCGUACUUUAAUGAUAUAAAAUAACGUUAAAUUA